GUGCAAACUCGAUCACUGACUCUGCAUGAUGCUGCAGAAGUGAAGGGAACCAGGUUUGCUAAAGUAGUUGUGGUGAGAGAAAUGUAUCGGCCUCAGAAGCUACUGAGGUGGUCCAUUCUAUCCCAGUACAGUG